UUCGGUUGAUCCUGCCGGAGGCUACCGCUAUUGGAGUUCGAUUAAGCCAUGCGAGUCGCGAGUCUUAGGGACUCGGCGUACCGCUCAGUAACACGUGGGUAACCUGCCCUAUGCUGGGAGAUAACCUCGGGAAACUGAGAAUAAUACCCCAUAGUUCACUACGCCUGGAACGGUGAGUGGAUGAAAGCUCCGGCGGCAUAGGAUGGGCCUGCGGCGUAUCAGGUUGUAGGGGGUGUAACGUACCCUCUAGCCCUCUACGCGUACGGGUGUUGGGAGACAUAGCCCGGAGAUGGAUUCUGAGACACGAAUCCAGACCCUACGGGGUGCAGCAGGCGCGAAAACUUGACAAUGCGAGAAAUCGUGAUCAGGGAACUCCAAGUGGCUGGGGUAAGACCCAGUCUUUUCUUGACUCUUCAAAGGUCUUGGAAUAAGGGGUGGGUAAGGACGGUGCCAGCCGCCGCGGUAAUACCGGCGCCCCAAGUGGUAGUCGCUUUUAUUGGGCCUAAAACGUCCGUAGCCGGUCUGGUACAUUCGUGGGUAAAUCAACCAGCUCAACUGGUUGAAUUCUGCGAGCACGGCCAGACUUGGGACCGGGAGAGGUGUGGGGUACUCUCAGGGUAGGGGUAAAAUCCUGUCAUCCUGAGAGGACCACCUGUUGCGAAGGCGCCACACUAGAACGGAUCCGACGGUCAGGGACGAAGCCUAGGGGCACGAACCGGAUUAGAUACCCGGGUAGUCCUAGGUGUAAACGCUGUGGACUUGAUGUUGGGGGCGCUCCGAGCGCACUCAGUGUCGAAGCGAAGGUGAUAAGUCCACUGCCUGGGGAGUACGGUCGCAAGGCUGAAACUUAAAGGAAUUGGCGGGGGAGCACCGCAACCUGAGGAUUGUGCGGUUUAAUUGGAUUCAACGCC
rnacentral:rRNA from 1 species